rnacentral:rRNA from 1 species
UGGGGAAUAUUGCACAAUGGGCGCAAGCCUGAUGCAGCCAUGCCGCGUGUGUGAAGAAGGCCUUCGGGUUGUAAAGCACUUUCAGCGAGGAGGAAGGUGGUGAGCUUAAUACGCUCAUCAAUUGACGUUACUCGCAGAAGAAGCACCGGCUAACUCCGUGCCAGCAGCCGCGGUAAUACGGAGGGUGCAAGCGUUAAUCGGAAUUACUGGGCGUAAAGCGCACGCAGGCGGUUUGUUAAGUCAGAUGUGAAAUCCCCGGGCUCAACCUGGGAACUGCAUUUGAAACUGGCAAGCUAGAGUCUCGUAGAGGGGGGUAGAAUUCCAGGUGUAGCGGUGAAAUGCGUAGAGAUCUGGAGGAAUACCGGUGGCGAAGGCGGCCCCCUGGACGAAGACUGACGCUCAGGUGCGAAAGCGUGGGGCAGCAAACAGGAUUAGAUACCCUGGUAGUCCAGCGCUGUAAAACGAUGUCGAUUUUGGAGGUUGUGCCCUUGAGGCGUGGCUUCCGGAGCUAACGCGUUAAAGUCGACCGCCUGGGGAGUACGG